rnacentral:miRNA from 1 species
GGAGAAUUGCUUGAACCUGGGAGAUGGAGGUUGCAGUGAGCUGAGAUCACACCACUGCACUCCAGCCUGGGCAAUAGAG